UGCUCAACCCAAACCAGUAGAAAGAAGCUGUUCUUACCAGAGAGGGGCUCCAGGAAGAGCUGCUGGAGUCCCGGUGUUACAGCUCAGCUGCUCUUGGGACCCUGGCCGGCGCUCAGGCUUCCUUCAGUCGCCACCAAAACUCCGGGGCCAGGAGUUGUCCGGAGCAGGCCUGCUUUGGAAGGGCCUUUCACAGCUGUCUCUAUUUGUAGGAUUAUGAAGGAAGCACCGAAGUGGAUCAGUGCAGGCCCCUUGGGGUCUCCGAAAGGCAGGAAGGAACCUUAGACAAGCAACUCAGGGCAUCUGAAAACCUGCUGUAUUGAAGCAAAAGCCCAGGAACUUGGCAAAGAAUGACGGACCUGGACUCAGAAGAUGGCUGGAGUGGGCAGGCAGGAGGGGCAGCCAUGAAAAGAGCCAAUCUGUCCCCUAAACACAACCAGAAUGGGCAUUUACAUGAGGCUGCUUUUAAAUGGCGCCCGGCUGACUUCUGCUGAGAUGGGAGCGUGGAGCUGCUCCCUCCAGGCUGUCGGGGUGCUCCGUCUUUGUCAGAGAGGCCGGCUCCCGGGGACGUGGAACUGCUCAGCCAGCAACAAGUUGGAAGAGGGAAAAGACAAAGGACCCACUACAUAAAUCACAGGUGUCUGCCUGAUGGAAAGCUAAUGAUGCCGGGAGAAGGCCUUCACCUGGAAAAACUUCACCUCAAACCAGGCAAGCUGUGGGCUCCCAAGUCCUCCAGGCCCAAGGCCAUCCCCCCCAGGGGUGUCCGGGGACCCCACACACACGCUUCCUGCUGUCAGAGCUUAGCCCUGGGAAAGUGACUGCGUCCCCGGGUCUGGGAAUGUGUGUGUGUGUGAGACUGUGUACAUGUGUGUGUGAAUAUGUGCAGGAUUGUGCCUCUGUGUCUAUGAAUGUGUGUGCAUGACUGUGUACAUGUGUGUUAAUAUGUGCAAGACUGUGUCCCUAUGCUGUGAAUGUGUGUACAUGUGUGUGACUAUGUGCAGGAUUGUGUUCAAAUGUCUGUGAAUGUGGGCGUGACUGUACUUUGUAUGUGUGUGAAUGUGUGUGCAGAAUGUGUACAUGUAUUUGUGAAUGUGUAUGUAUGGUACGUGCAUGUGUUUCUGUGUGUUUGUGACUGUGUUGUGAUUGUGUAUGUGUGUUUUUGUGUGUGGAUGUGUAUUGUGAUUUUGUGCAUGUAUUUGUGAAUAUGUGUACAUCUAUAAGAGUCUGGACUAGACAGCACUGAGAGCAUCUACACCAGUGCAGAGGGGUCUGGAAAAUCCAUUUAGAGAGACUGGGUUUGGGCCAAGCCUAACAUUGGGUCUCCGUGGACCACAACAUAAUAUUUUCUCUCUUUUUGUUGUUUGCUUGCAUUUUGUUUUCUUUGUCAUUUUUUUUCCUUUUUGAUCUGAUUUUGCCCGUGCAGCAUAAUAAUUGUGGAAAAUGUAUAGAGGAAUUGCACGUGUUUAACAUAUAUUGUAUCACUUGCUGACUGGAGGGGGG
rnacentral:lncRNA from 1 species